rnacentral:rRNA from 1 species
UACGCAGGGUGCAAGCGUUAAUCGGAAUUACUGGGCGUAAAGCGUGCGCAGGCGGUUAUGUAAGACAGAUGUGAAAUGCCCGGGCUUAACCUGGGAACUGCAUUUGUGACUGCAUGGCUAGAGUUUGGCAGAGGGGGGUAGAGUUCCACGUGUAGCAGUGAAAUGCGUAGAUAUGUGGAGGAACACCGAUGGCGAAGGCAGCCCCCUGGGUCAAGACUGACGCUCAUGCACGAAAGCGUGGGGAGCAAAACGG